rnacentral:rRNA from 1 species
GCAAUGCCGCGUGUGUGAAGAAGGCCUCUCGGGUUGUAAAGCACUUUUGUCUGGAAAGAAAUCCUUGGCUCUAAUACAGUCGGGGGAUGACGGUACCGGAAGAAUAAGCACCGGCUAACUACGUGCCAGCAGCCGCGGUAAUACGUAGGGUGCGAGCGUUAAUCGGAAUUACUGGGCGUAAAGCGUGCGCAGGCGGUUUGCUAAGACCGAUGUGAAAUCCCCGGGCUCAACCUGGGAACUGCAUUGGUGACUGGCAGGCUAGAGUAUGGCAGAGGGGGGUAGAAUUCCACGUGUAGCAGUGAAAUGCGUAGAGAUGUGGAGGAAUACCGAUGGCGAAGGCAGCCCCCUGGGCCAAUACUGACGCUCAUGCACGAAAGCGUGGGGAGCAAACAGGAUUAGAUACCCUGGUAGUCCACGCCCUAAACGAUGUCAACUAGUUGUUGGGGAUUCAUUUCCUUAGUAACGUAGCUAACGCGUGAAGUUGACCGCCUGGGGAGUACGGUCGCAAGAUUAAAACUCAAAGGAAUUGACGGGGACCCGCACAAGCGGUGGAUGAUGUGGAUUAAUUCGAUGCAACGCGAAAAACCUUACCUACCCUUGACAUGGUCGGAAUCCUGCUGA